rnacentral:rRNA from 1 species
AUUGAACGCUGGCGGAAUGCUUUACACAUGCAAGUCGAACGGCAGCACGGGGCAACCUGGUGGCGAGUGGCGAACGGGUGAGUAAUACAUCGGAACGUGCCCAAUCGUGGGGGAUAACGUAGCGAAAGUUACGCUAAUACCGCAUACGAUCUACGGAUGAAAGCGGGGGAUCGCAAGACCUCGCGCGAGUGGAGCGGCCGAUGUCAGAUUAGGUAGUUGGUGGGGUAAAGGCUCACCAAGCCAACGAUCUGUAGCUGGUCUGAGAGGACGACCAGCCACACUGGAACUGAGACACGGUCCAGACUCCUACGGGAGGCAGCAGUGGGGAAUUUUGGACAAUGGGCGCAAGCCUGAUCCAGCCAUUCCGCGUGCAGGAUGAAGGCCUUCGGGUUGUAAACUGCUUUGUACGGUAACGAAACGGACGAGCUCUAAUACAGUUGCUAAUGACGGUACCGUAAGAAUAAGACACCGGCUAACUACGUGCCAGCAGCCGAC